AACACAUGCAAGUCGAACGCGAAAGUCCCGCAAGGGAUAAGUAGAGUGGCAGACGGGUGAGUAAUGCAUAGGUAAUCUACCCUUGAGUGGGGGAUAACUCCGGGAAACCGGUGCUAAUCCCGCAUAACUUCCAGAUGCACAAGCAUUUGGAUCAAAGGGGGGGAUCCUUCGGGACCUCCUGCUUGAGGUUGAGCCUAUGUCCUAUUAGCUAGUUGGUGAGGUAACGGCCCACCAAGGCUUUGAUGGGUAGCCGAGCUGAGAGGCUGAUCGGCCACACUGGAACUGAAACACGGUCCAGACUCCUACGGGAGGCAGCAGUGGGGAAUUUUGCGCAAUGGGCGAAAGCCUGACGCAGCGACGCCGCGUGAGGGAUGAAGGUCUUAGGAUUGUAAACCUCUGUCAGGAAGCAUUAAAUGUGCGGAUAUCAACACCAUCCGUACUUGACUUAACUUCCAGAGGAAGCCCCGGCUAACUACGUGCCAGCAGCCGCGGUAAUACGUAGGGGGCAAGCGUUACUCGGAUUUAUUGGGCGUAAAGAGAAUUAAGGCGGUCAUGUAAGUCAGUGGUGAAAUCCCCCGGCUCAACUGGGGAAUUGCCUCUGAUACUGCGUGACUUGAGGACAGGAGAGGGAGGCGGAAUUCCCGGUGUAGCGGUGGAAUGCGUAGAUAUCGGGAGGAACACCUGANGCGAAGGCGGCUUUCUGGACUGGUCCUGACGCUGAUAUUCGAAAGCUAGGGGAGCAAACAGGAUUAGAUACCCUGGUAGUCCUAGCUGUAAACGAUGGAUACUAGAUCUUGCAUGAUUUUGCUUGGUCGAAGCUAACGCGUUAAGUAUCCCGCCUGGGGGAGUACGGU
rnacentral:rRNA from 1 species